rnacentral:piRNA from 1 species
UAAAGUCGUCUUCAACACACGCUAG